UACGUAGGGUGCAAGCGUUAAUCGGAAUUACUGGGCGUAAAGCGUGCGCAGGCGGUUCGCUAAGACAGAUGUGAAAUCCCCGGGCUUAACCUGGGAACUGCAUUUGUGACUGGCGGGCUAGAGUGUGGCAGAGGGGGGUGGAAUUCCACGUGUAGCAGUGAAAUGCGUAGAGAUGUGGAGGAAUACCGAUGGCGAAGGCAACCCCCUGGGCCAAUACUGACGCUCAUGCACGAAAGCGUGGGGAGCAAACAGG
rnacentral:rRNA from 1 species